ACCAUGGCCUGGGCUCUGCUCCUUGUCACCCUCCUCACUCAGGGCACAGGGUCCUGGGCCCAGUCUGGCCUGUCUCAGCCUCCCUCAGUGUCCGGGAAUCCGGGACAGACGGUCACCAUCUCUUGUGCUGGAACCAGCAAUGACAUCGGGGGUUAUAACCGUGUCGGCUGGUAUCAACAGCUCCCAGGCAUGGCCCCCAAAACCCUGAUUUAUGAGGUGAAUAAACGGCCCUCAGGGAUCCCUGAUCGCUUCUCUGGCUCCAAAUCUGGAAACACGGCCUCCCUGACCAUCUCUGGGCUCCAGGCUGAGGACGAGGCCGAUUAUUACUGUAGCUCCGCUAGAAGUGGUAACACUGUGCACCGUGCUGUCAGCUCCCAGCCUGCGGUGACCCAGAAGCUCUCCCUCACGGUGUUGCCCGGACUGACAGUCACCCUCACCGGCUCUACGAGCAUUGUGUCCUCCUAUGAACUGACUCAGUCGUCCUCGGUGUGA